AGGAAAAGAAAUCAACCGAGAUUCCCCUAGUAGCGGCGAGCGAACGGGGAACAGCCGAGUAGUAAUGAAGUAGUGGAAUGUAUUGGAAAAUACAGCGAUACAGGGUGAUAGCCCCGUACACGAAGCGUCAUUAUUGCCAUAUUAAGUAGGUCGGGACACGAGUUAUCUUGACUGAAGAUGGGGGGACCAUCCUCCAAGGCU
rnacentral:rRNA from 1 species